rnacentral:lncRNA from 10 species
GUGUCUUUGAUCUUUCUAAUAUCUUCAUGCUCAUUCCUGAUCAUCUAUGCCCACUUCCUGCAGGGUGAGAGUCUGCCGUCUGUGCCUGCUACUGCACCUCUCUCGUGGCUCGCCUCCUCGGGCUUUGUUGGUGUUGGUUGUGGGCUUGCUGCUUGAUCUUCAUGUGUGUGAAUCCUGCAGGCCUCUACGGAGGAUGUGUUUGUCCAGAGAGGUUGUGCAUCUGCCUUGAUCAAGCCCUGGGAGUAUCACAGGUGGGUCCCAUGUAAUCACAGGGAUCUGUAGAAGUGGACAAGAGAUUCAGAAGGAUGGGAGAUGGCCGCAUGAGGAAGAUGCAGCCUGACACUGCUGACUGGAAAAAGGGGCCGUGAGCCAGGGCGUGACGGUGGCUUUCCUCCAGAAGCUGGCAGAGAUGAGACAAAGGACUCUUGCCCAGAGCCUCCAGAAGGAGUGCAGCCCUGGUGACACCUUGAUUUCAGCAUAGUGAGACUUGUUUUGGAUUUCUGACCUCUGGGACUGUAAGGUGAUAAACGUGUGCUGUUUUGAGGCCCAAAUUUGUAGUUAGUUGUUGUAGCAGCAACAGGAAAUUAGUUCAGGGACUCUGCUACCCACCUAGAGAGCCUGACUUUGUCCGGAGCCCACUCCCCUGUCUCUGUCGCCCUGUGCUCAGUGUCCUGAUUGCCCUGAAACUGGGUGCCCACCCUCAGGGCAGUCCCGCCCAUCUCCUUUGCCCUUCAUCUGCCUCUGGCUCCUUCCCCAGCGCACCAGCGGCCGUCCCUCCUGCUGAGGAGUCUCCAGAGGAGCAGCGUUGCUCAGAGUGUGAGUGUGGACCGGAGCAUCUGGCUCUCCAUACCAGUGGAGCUGUGUAUGUUGUAGCUUCGUCGUUAAUAUUGCUUACACGUUUUGUAGAUGUUCUAUGUCUUUUAAUAAUAUGCAGAAUAAACCUCAGAA